CACCAUGUUUAGGUCUGGUCACCAUGUUUAGGUCUGGUCAGCAUGUUUAGGUCUGGUCGGCAUGUUUAGGUCUGGUCACCAUGUUUAGGUCUGGUCAGCAUGUUUAGGUCUGGUCAGCAUGUUUAGGUCUGGUCAGCAUGUUUAGGUCUGGUCACCAUGUUUAGGUCUGGUCAGCAUGUUUAGGUCUGG